UACCUGGUUGAUCCUGCCAGUAAUCAUAUGCUUGUCUCAAAGAUUAAGCCAUGCAUGUCUAAGUACAUGCCGAAAUAAGGCGAAACCGCGAAUGGCUCAUUAAAUCAGUUAUGGUUCCUUAGAUCGUUUCUUCCUACUUGGAUAACUGUGGCAAUUCUAGAGCUAAUACAUGCAGUGAGCCUGAAGCCCUUUGGGCGACGGGUGCUUUUAUUAGACCAAGAUCGAUCGGGUUUCGGCCCGUAUUGUGUGGUGACUCUGGAUAACUUUGUGCUGAUCGCAUGGCCACGAGCCGGCGACGUUUCUUUCAAGUGUCUGCCUUAUCAACUUUCGAUGGUAGGUUACUUGCUUACCAUGGUUGUUACGGGUAACGGAGAAUCAGGGUUCGAUUCCGGAGAGGGAGCCUGAGAAACGGCUACCACAUCCAAGGAAGGCAGCAGGCGCGCAAAUUACCCACUCCCGGCACGGGGAGGUAGUGACGAAAAAUAACAAUACGGGACUCUUUUGAGGCCCCGUAAUUGAAAUGAGUACACUCUAAAUCCUUUAACGAGGAUCAAUUGGAGGGCAAGUCUGGUGCCAGCAGCCGCGGUAAUUCCAGCUCCAAUAGCGUAUACUAAAGCUGCUGCGGUUAAAAAGCUCGUAGUUGGAUCUCAGUUCCAGACGAGUAGUGCAUCUACCCGAUGCGACGGCUCGGACUGAACAUCAUGCCGGUCCUUUCUUGGUGCACUUCAUUGUGUGCCUCGAGAAGGCCGGUGCUUUUACUUUGAAAAAAUUAGAGUGCUCAACGCAGGCGAGUCGCCUGAAUAAACUUGCAUGGAAUAAUAGAACAAGACCUCGUUUCUGUUCUGUUGGUUUUUGGAAUACGAGGUAAUGAUUAAGAGGGACAGACGGGGGCAUUCGUAUUGCGGCGCUAGAGGUGAAAUUCUUGGACCGUCGCAAGACGAACUACUGCGAAAGCAUUUGCCAAGAAUGUUUUCUUUGAUCAAGAACGAAAGUCAGAGGUUCGAAGGCGAUCAGAUACCGCCCUAGUUCUGACCAUAAACGAUGCCAACCAGCGAUCCGCCUGAGUUACUCAAAUGACUCGGCGGGCAGCUUCCGGGAAACCAAAGUGUUUGGGUUCCGGGGGAAGUAUGGUUGCAAAGCUGAAACUUAAAGGAAUUGACGGAAGGGCACCACCAGGAGUGGAGCCUGCGGCUUAAUUUGACUCAACACGGGAAAACUUACCCGGCCCGGACACUGGGAGGAUUGACAGAUUGAGAGCUCUUUCUUGAUUCGGUGGAUGGUGGUGCAUGGCCGUUCUUAGUUGGUGGAGCGAUUUGUCUGGUUAAUUCCGAUAACGAACGAGACUCUAGCCUAUUAAAUAGGUGCGGGGUUCCCAGCACCUUACAACCUUCUUAGAGGGACAAGCGGCUCCUAGCCGCACGAAACAGAGCAAUAACAGGUCUGUGAUGCCCUUAGAUGUCCGGGGCCGCACGCGCGCUACACUGAAGGAAGCAGCGUGUCUUUAUCCCUGUCUGAAAGGACUGGGUAACCCGUGGAACUUCUUUCGUGAUUGGGAUAGGGGCUUGCAAUUGUUCCCCUUGAACGAGGAAUUCCCAGUAAGCGCGAGUCAUAAGCUCGCGUUGAUUACGUCCCUGCCCUUUGUACACACCGCCCGUCGCUACUACCGAUUGAAUGAUUUAGUGAGGUCUUCGGACCGAUGUCGGCGCGGCCUUUCGGUUGCGCCGGUCUGUUGGAAAGAUGACCAAACUUGAUCAUUUAGAGGAAGUAAAAGUCGUAACAAGGUUUCCGUAGGUGAACCUGCGGAAGGAUCAUUA
rnacentral:rRNA from 1 species